rnacentral:rRNA from 1 species
ACUGGCAGCCAUGUCACCUUGCAACUCAUGACUGGCAGCCCAAUGAAGCAGGUGUGAGCCUGGUCAGUACCUGGAUGGGAGACCUCCUGGGAAAGCUAAGGUUGCUGCUGGAA